GAGAGGUUGCCUCGCCGUGGGAGUUUCGUGAUCCCCUGGGAAUCUAGGGAUGUGAGGUCGCGGAUGAGGGCUGAGCUCUUGCCCCUGGCUCUGGGAGGGAGCCUCUUGCCUGGCUACACACACAGCUACAUUUUGGGACUGGUAGCAUCAGCUUGGGAUGGAUGAAGCAGGCUUGUCUGACUGUUGUUCCCAAGCCCCAGGUCUGGGGCUUCGGCUUUCAGCUCUGGCAGAACUCAAGAGUCUAGAGACAGGCUAUUGUUUGGAAACUUGGUGGCCAACAGUCCUCAGGAGAAUUUUAUUUUUAUAGACAAGGUCACAUGGCAUGGGAAGCCCAGGCUGACCUUACUAUGUAGUCCAGAAUGACCUUGAACUUCUAAUUUCCCUUGCUUCCAAAUACUGGGAUUACAGGUAUGAACCACCACAUGCAAAUUCACAUGAUGUUGGUAACUUAAAAAACCCAGGGCUUUAUAGAAGCUAGGAGAACACUCAGCCAACAUCCACAGUUGUUUGUAAUGUUUUGUUUUGUUUUAGAGAUAUAAGCCAAUGUCACAUUGGCAAAAGUUUAAUGGGGAUUUGGGGGGCUUGGGCUUCUGGUAUGAUCGUAUGUAGAUGACAUCCAGGAUUAUCAUAGCCCCUUUAUUAGCUGCCACACAGAGAAGUUACCUGAACUCUGAGAUAAAAUGAAACCAAUGUUCUAUCUUUUGCUCUACAAAUACUUAAGUCAAAAAAACUCAUUGCUUAUAUGUUAGUUUAGUUUUCUGUUACUUGUAUUCAAGUGCAUGCAGUUGUUAAAAGAAUGUUAUUAUUACAUGAAUAAACUUGUAUUCAUAUUGAAUAUUGUUUGUGAAUAAUAAACACU